CAUUAAAGUAAAAUAGAGUACUUAAUUUUUUUCUUUCAUUUAAUGCCUAUUGGUGUUCCAAAAGUCCCUUUUCGAAAUCCUGGGGAAGACGAUUCAAUUUGGAUUGACGUAUAGUGCGACUUGUCAGAUAUAUUGGGUCAUAUGGAAUUCCCCCGUUCUCUCCCCCGAUUGAGAUAUCCUCUGUUUCGCCCAAGAAAGAUUGAAUAAAUCAUCAAAAAUUUGGAGCGUGAAGUGCAAUGAAGUCCAAUUAGAUCUAGGCUUUUGAGGUACCCAGAUUAACAUUAUCAAUUAGAAUAAUUUAUGGUUGGCUUGUUUGGAUCAAAAAAACGAAGUAUCCAGGCUCCGUUUAGAAAACCCAAUUGAUAAUAUAUCUAUUAUGAUUACUUCUUGUAUCAUAUCCUAUUUAUAAAUUUUAUAAAUUAGGAAAAAUUUCAAACUGCUAAUCAUAUUCCAUCGAAAAAAUAUAAAUAGAAUGAAUACGUCAAAUAUUUGGCAGAAGGCGUGAAAUUAAUUAAAUAAAAAAAAAAAGAAGUUGUAACAAAAAGCCGCGGAAAGACGCGGUAUUGGGGCAUUUGCCCUAUAUGUGCAAAUAAAAAUCGGGCAGAUCUUUACUCGGAGUAGAGCACAAACCUAAAAGAAUUGAAGAAGCCCAUUCAGGAACAAGAAAAUGCCAUCGUGAUUUGAAUUAAAUUUCGAUGAAAGAAUACAUCAAUGAGAAGUUAGUUUGAUAAGUUUAAUAAAUUUUUUUCUAGGUAAACGCGUCAAAACUCAUCUUUCUUGAAAAAUGGAAGAAAAGACCCUUCAUUAGAAAAAAAAAGGUUAAAAAGUACUCACUAUCAAAAAAAAGAGGGCUGGAAUCUACACAUUGAUUCUUUUUUUUUAUUUUCACGAUUUUUGUUGAACCAUAUGCAUCAAAAGGUGCAUGUACGGUUUCUAGAGGAUAGAUUUUUAUCCUAAUCAACCGACUUUAUCGAGAAAGAUUACUUU
rnacentral:misc_RNA from 1 species